rnacentral:rRNA from 1 species
GUAGGGUGGCAAGCGUUGUCCGGAAUUAUUGGGCGUAAAGCGCGCGCAGGCGGUCCUUUAAGUCUGAUGUGAAAGCCCACGGCUCAACCGUGGAGGGUCAUUGGAAACUGGGGGACUUGAGUACAGAAGAGGAAAGCGGAAUUCCAAGUGUAGCGGUGAAAUGCGUAGAGAUUUGGAGGAACACCAGUGGCGAAGGCGGCUUUCUGGUCUGUAACUGACGCUGAGGCGCGAAAGCGUGGGGAGCAAACAGGAUUAGAUACCCUGGUAGUCCACGCCGUAAACGAUGAGUGCUAAGUGUUACGGGGGGUUUCCGCCCCUUAGUGCUGCAGCUAACGCAUUAAGCACUCCGCCUGGGGAGUACGGCCGCAAGGCUG